CUCGGCUCUACGACGUAGCCUCCUUAAGCACCUGUCACGCGCAUUCGUUAGCGCUUUCCUUAAUGAGUUGGAUCUCAAGGCUCUCUGUUGCUGAUGAGAUACAAGCUGAGUGUGGCUACUGUUCCGUGUCAGAGCCUGUUAAAUCAGCUGUGGGCGUGCGGGGACGCGACUGGGGCCAUGAUUAAAUGUUGAUAGCAAUGAUGUGCAGUCAGCGAUUAAAAACGGGCCAUUCGCUGAUGGCUAAUGCUCGGUUUAACCUCUGACUGCCGAGACUGCGAGCUGAAGAGGGAGGGAGUCAGAACGACGGGAAUAAUACAAAUACAAUGUACUGUGUGAGCGAGCUGACGCAGUGGCUGGGAAAGAAAGCGCGAAUGAGGUGUGAUGCACUGGAGAGGAAUGGAGAUACAGAGGCUGCCUGGUGGAGGAAGAAAGGGAGACAGCGCCACCAGGUGGACAUUAUACUGCAAAGAGUCUCAUAAAAAAAUAUUGCAGUUA